rnacentral:rRNA from 1 species
UACGUAGGCAGCGAGCGUUGUUCGGAGUUACUGGGCGUAAAGGGUGUGUAGGCGGUUGGUUAAGUUUGGUGUGAAAUCUCCCGGCUCAACUGGGAGGGUGCGCCGAAUACUGAAUGACUUCGAGUGCGGGAGAGGAAAGUGGAAUUCCUGGUGUAGCGGUGAAAUGCGUAGAUAUCAGGAGGAACACCGGUGGUGUAAACGGCUUUCUGGGCCAUAACUGACACUGAGGCACGAAAGCGUGGGUAGCAAACAGG